GUCAGGGCCAGACAAGGGGAGGCGUGCCAAGCCGGGGCAUGGAGGGAAUCCAAGCUGCUACGUGGAACCUCUGUGAGUCGGCUGCGGAGAGAAGCCACCCCGAACCUUGGCUGUGGCUGACGGCAGAUGGGACCUGGCCGAAGCGAGUCUGGGCCCACAGGACAAGGGGGCACAGCCGCGCAGGGUCGGGGGCAUUGAGCACGUUCACAUUUGUGCAGCCACGGCCCCGUCCAGCUCCAGGACUUCUGUCCCCGCACACUGAGACCCUGUCCCCGCAACACACUGACCCCCACGCCCGCCCCAGCCUGGGCACCACCGUCUGCUCUGUGUCUGUGGUUUUGAGGACUCCGGGGACCUCGUGUGAGUGGGAUUGAGCAGCGUUUGUCCUUCUGCGACUGCCUUGUUCCAACGAGCAUCGUGUCCCCCGGGUUCACCCCCCGGGUAGCGUGCGUCCGCUCCUCCUUCCUUUUUCAGGCCGAAGAAUAACCCAUUGUGUGUGUAGACCGCACCCUGUUGAUUCCUCCGACGGUGGACACUAGGGCUGCUCCCACCUCCUGACUGGCGAGCUCUGCUGCAGUGGACGCGGGGGUGCGAGUGCCUCUUCGAGGCCCCGGUUUGAGUUCUUCGGGGUGUGUUCUUUGCUGGAUCCCGUGGUGAUACUUUUCUGAGGAGAUACCAGCCUGUUUUCCAGAGUGGCUAACCCAUCUUCCGUUCCCACCGACAGAGCGUGAGGUUAUGUUAUGUGAGUCUAUGUUACGACUUUGGACGUGAUUUACUACCACAGCCAUCCAGUGGGCGUGAGGUCAGCGGGUGUAAUUGUGGACGAGUUGAGGUGGGGGUCUUGGGACGUCCCCAAGGCAAUGAGGAGUGGGCGGCUGGGCGGCCAGGGCUGGGGAGUGGCGGGCCGUCGGCCAGGAAGGUAUGGGUGCCACCAUCCACGCGGCAGUUGAUGACAGAGGAUGUGGCACAUGUGAGUCUGUCGGAGCGGAGGAGAGGGUUUCCACCACGGUGGCUGGUGGGUGGCAGGGGUCUGGGGUGCAGGGGUGUGGGGUCUGGUGGCAGCAGAGGGAAGGGGGGUGGUCAGCAGCGUCACCUGUCACUAGGAGGUCUAAACAUCCGUGGGCUUCAGGGUGAAGAUGGGACAUUGAGGCUGGAGCAGAGAGCCUCCUCUCUGUCCCCAGCAGGAGGAGGAAAGAUUAGACGCAGGAGAGAGAAGUCAAAAGUCCACCAGCAGUAACCACAUAAGGACAGGGAUGCGAUCGGGUCACAGAUGGAAAUGUAGAAGAUUCUGGAAGCGUACGCACAGAUGGAACCCUUACCCCAGGCCCCCAGAGGCAAAGAAGGAAGGAAGCACAGUUCACAGAAUUCUGAGGGACUUUGUCAGGACCUCUCCCGAUUUCCAAAGAACUCACUGCAGGAUGAAGGAGUGGGUGAGAGACACGCCCCAGAAUGUUCCAGAAUGCCCUGAGAACCCACACAGCCGCAGGAUGCACUUUUUCGGAGCUCCGUGUGCCCUGCUGGGGGACAGUCAGAAGCCGUCCAAGUAGCUCUGGGCAGAGCAACUGCUUUGGAUGCAGGGUGAGCCUGAGGGCAGCCUCGGCCCCGCACUGCAGCUCGGAGGAACCGCACAGAGGAGGUGUGGCCGGACCGCGCUCCUUGUCCGAGCAAGUAGGACACACCGCACCACGGCACAAGGGAGGGAGGAUAUGACCCACGCAGCCUGUGGAGGACGGGCGACCCACGUCGUCAGCAAGCGUCAGGAAAGACCAGGAAAUCCCAGCUUGGGUGUCUGGUGUGCGGAACCCGACAGGAGUGUGGACCCCAUCACACACGACCAGCGUUGAGUGUGGUGACCAGACAGUCCCUCAGGUUCCCUCUCCUCUGGUAGAAUUCAAGUAAAACGAAAGGUGGUAUUUAAAAACCAAAAGAGCACGCACUGGUCUCUUUCUAGACUACUGUAAACUUAUGUCUGCGUGGCAUUUACCCACCUGCCCUUCCUUCCUUCCUUCCAUCCAUCCAUCUACACUUCCCUCUGUGUACAAAUGCCGAGAGGCACUGACUCGAUGAUAUUUACUGAACACCAACAGCGGUUCUCUCUCCGCAGAAGGACCGUGGACGCUGCGUGGCUGCUCUAUGCUUUUCUUUUACAAUAAUGUGUUAGAUGGGGUGGGGAGGUCAGGUCACAGGGACAAUGGGCGGGUUCAUUCCGGGAUGGUCCAAAUGUAAGAGGAGGAUUUCCCUCCAAAACACGUCCUUGGGGACUCCCCCUUCAGCUUAAGGGCUUACCAAGUGUCUCAUCCCACGGGGCUCUCAGUGAUGGCAGCUUGGGCACCAUUUGGGAAAGCAGCCCGAGAGCCAGAAGUCGGGGCAUCCCGACAGAGCCGGCUAAAAAUAGUUAGGAAAUGGAACUUUAACUCGGUCGCCGUCACAGGAGGAGGGCCUCACAUCUCAAAGGCUGGGUGUCGCUGUGAACCAGCCUUUGGAAAAUCACUUCGUGCACAUAGUCGUGGCUGCACGGCGCAGAGGGGAGCACCUGCGGCCAGGCAGAAGCCAGCACCUCUGGACACAGAUGUCCUCACGUCCUCACACCCAACCUUGACGCUUGGGUAGAAGCGUUUCUGGAGGCUGCAUACCCCAUAUGGAUCUUUACGUGGCCGAUGAUCGACAGCUUGAGCAGGAAAGGACAAGGUGUGUUGGACAAAAGUGUGUCAGGUGACUCACAUGGGGUUGUGUCCAUGCCGGUGCAAGCACGCCAAACCCCUGAGUGGCUUAUUUUAUAUGUGAUUAUAAACAUGUAUGUAGGACCCAAGAACGCACUACUUACUAAUGAGCUGGCAUUGGACAAUUUCAUCCACACUUAUCAAAAGUGCUUAUUUUCAAAUCGGUCACACAGACCCCUUUUUUGUGGUCUUCUCUUUGGAAAAAUGGAGGCGCCCUGUAUAGUUCAGCGUGGCUUGAGUUUAGAGC